AUGAAACAGAGCUGGAUCAUAUUCUUAUUGGCACUAUUAAUUGCAGGUGUCCACUCCCAGGUCCAGCUGCAGCAAUCUGGGGCUGAGUUGCUGAGGACUGGGGCCUCAGUGAAGAUAUCCUGCAAGGCUUCUGGCUAUACCUUUACUAGCUAUUAUGUAGACUGGGUGAAGCAGAGAACUGUAUAUAGCCUGGAGUGGAUUGGAAGAAUUAUUCCUGGAUUUGGUGCUACUGACUACGCUCAGAAGUUCAAGGGCAAGGCCACACUGACUGCAGACAAAUCCUCCAGGACAGUCUACAUGGAGCUCAGCAGCCUGACAUCUGAGGACUCUGCAGUCUAUUACUGUGCAAGACAUUCCAUAUUAUCACUCUCAAAAUAUAACUGA